UAAACAUUUGCAGUUAAACAAUUACAAACAUUGAAAACAAGCACAUGAACGUAGUAAAGUUGCAGUAAAUCACGUUUGAGAACAGAUACUAAUUUACUGUUGUAGACAAAUGCUAUAAAAAGAGAAUGAAAUGGAGAAACGCAGCAAUUUUACAAAUGCUGUUAUUUUCUGCUUUUAGAUUUAGUGUUUGUUUGCACCGUUUUAAUUAAAUCAUCACGAUGUCGUGAUCGAACCGAUCGCGCGAGUCACGACAGAACAGAUCCAGUGUGACUCCUGAAGUUACAAACAAACAGUUUACACAAUAACACUUCAUUAAACCAUUUUCACAUGAUGAGGAUAACAGCAUUCGCUCACAACCAAUUUCAUUAUUGAUUAUUAUUAAUUUGAGUUGUUGUUGCAGCUCUAAUAAUUAAUAAUAAACUCAGUGUUUUAAAGAGAAUAAAAACCCAUAAAGUUUGCAAACUCACUGUUCCAGCAGUCGUACAGUCGCUCUAUUGAACAUUUUUCUACUAUUGAACAUCAGGUAGCUGGUUUGGUGGAUCCUUCAGCAACAAUUCAGCAGCCAAACCUAAUUCUGGUAGUCAAAGUCCAUCUCCUUCAGCCAGUGAUUCAUCUGCAUCCUGUCCUUCAUCUGCAUCCAGUCCUGCUGUUUCCUCCAGUUCUGCUCCUUUAAUCAUUUCUUCCUGGUGUUUUGAGCGACUCAUUUUUCUG